rnacentral:rRNA from 1 species
UUCAACGGAGAGUUUGAUUCUGGCUCAGGACGAACGCUGGCGGCGUGCUUAACACAUGCAAGUCGAACGAUGAAGCCUAGCUUGCUAGGUGGAUUAGUGGCGAACGGGUGAGUAAUACGUGAGUAACCUACCUUUAACUCUGGGAUAAGCCUGGGAAACUGGGUCUAAUACCGGAUACGACCAAUCUCCGCAUGGAGUGUUG